AGCAUCAGCGACCAUCACCCUGCAUGUACUUGAUCAAUUAAAUUCCAGGGAUAAAAUCGACACUGUCGGCAUAGUAGGCAUAGUGAUUGCUGUUCUGCUUUGCCUGGGUUUUAUCAGUGGGCUCAGCGCAUGGUUAAUCAAAAUGAAAUCACAAAGAAUGAAAUCUUCAACACAAGGACAAAAUAUUAGCUCAGCAGAAAAUG